rnacentral:lncRNA from 1 species
UCGGACUUACAAUACUUACGGGACUAGCUUCGUUCGUCUCCUCGGAGUCCACGCGUCCGCAGCGAUGGCCAGAGGCCUGUGGCGCAGGCAGCUGCGGACAAAUCACAACCCAGCAGCGCACUCCUGAAGGUUGGACGCGGAUGAUGGCUGGGCGUGGGGGCAGAGCCUUCAGCCUGAAGAGGCCAAGCGUCAUGAGGGGUGGGCAUGAGGCGGUGUGCAAUACCCCCAUACAUUCGACCACGGCCCUUCAGCUGCCUCACCACUGGCCCGCCCAGCGGCCCAGGUGGGCGAAGCUCUCAGGGAGUUUCACAAGUUGACGUGAUUUACAUGCACGGAUUGAGCCUCGUCCAUAAGCCCCUUCCUAAUUCUUCGUUUCGACUUGGUGGCCUCCUGACCGCAAGGUGCCGUGCGCAAAACUGUCAGUGGACCGUGCGCGUUACCCUUCAUCGCCUGUUAUCGACGUGCUUGAUAAACCGCAACACAAGCGAACAUGACGUUGGAGAGCCGCCUGUCCUAGCCUGGUAACGGCGCAUCCAAAUAAUAAUAUAAC